rnacentral:rRNA from 1 species
AUUGAACGCUGGCGGCAUGCUUUACACAUGCAAGUCGAACGGUAACAGGCCUUCGGGUGCUGACGAGUGGCGCACGGGUGCGUAAUGCAUCGGAACGUGCCCAGAGGUGGGGGAUAACGCAGCGAAAGCUGUGCUAAUACCGCAUGUGAUCUGAGGAUGAAAGCGGGGGACCAAGCAGCAAUGUUUGGCCUCGCGCCUCUGGAGCGGCCGAUGUCAGAUUAGGUAGUUGGUGGGGUAAAGGCCUACCAAGCCGACGAUCUGUAGCUGGUCUGAGAGGACGACCAGCCACACUGGGACUGAGACACGGCCCAGACUCCUACGGGAGGCAGCAGUGGGGAAUUUUGGACAAAGGGCGCAAGCCUGAUCCAGCAAUGCCGCGUGCGGGAAGAAGGCCUUCGGGUUGUAAACCGCUUUUGUACGGAACGAAAAGGCUCUGGCUAAUACCUGGGGCUGAUGACGGUACCGUAAGAAUAGGCACCGGCUAACUACGUG